rnacentral:siRNA from 1 species
GAAUUGAAAGAGGAAGACAACGAC